rnacentral:rRNA from 1 species
AGAGUUCGAUCCUGGCUCAGAAUGAACGCUGGCGGCAUGGAUUAGGCAUGCAAGUCGAACGAAGCCUUCGGGCUUAGUGGCGAAAGGGUGAGUAACGCGUGAGUAACCUGCCUUGAGGUUCGGAAUAGCCCGGGGAAACCCGGAUUAAUACCGGAUGUGGCGGACUGGUUUUAUCUGGUCUUAGCUAAAGAUUUAUCGCCUCAAGAUGGGCUCGCGUCCGAUUAGCUAGUUGGUGAGGUAACGGCUCACCAAGGCAGCGACCGGUAGCUGGUCUGAGAGGAUGGUCAGCCACACUGGGACUGAGACACUGCCCAGACUCCUACGGGAGGCUGCAGUCGAGAAUCUUCCGCAAUGCGCGAAAGCGCGACGGAGCGAUGCCGCGUGAGGGAUGACGGCCUUCGGGUUGUAAACCUCUGUCACCCGGGAUGAAUUUUGACAGUACCGGGAGAGGAAGCCACGGCUAACUACGUGCCAGCAGCCGCGGUAAUACGUAGGUGGCGAGCGUUAUUCGGAUUUAUUGGGCGUAAAGGGUCCGCAGGGGGUGAGGAAAGUCUGAUGUGAAAUGCUAGGGCUCAACCUUAGACGUGCAUUGGAAACUUCUUCACUAGAGUAUCGGAGAGGAAAGCAGAAUUCCUGGUGUAGCGGUGGAAUGCGUAGAUAUCAGGAGGAAUACCGAUGGCGAAGGCAGCUUUCUGGACGAUAACUGACCCUCAUGGACGAAAGUAGGGGUAGCAAACAGGAUUAGAUACCCUGGUAGUCCCUACCGUAAACGUUGUACACUAGGUGUUGGGGGAUUUGACCCCCUCAGCGCCCCAGCUAACGCGAUAAGUGUACCGCCUGGGGAGUACGGCCGCAAGGUUAAAACUCAAAGGAAUUGACGGGGGCCCGCACAAGCGGUGGAGCAUGUGGCUUAAUUCGAGGCGACGCGAAGAACCUUACCUGGGCUUGACAUAUAGAUGCCAGGCCGUGAAAGCGGUUUUUCCUCUUCGAGGAUGUCUAUACAGGUGCUGCAUGGCUGUCGUCAGCUCGUGUCGUGAGAUGUUCGGUUAAGUCCGGCAACGAGCGCAACCCGUGUCGUCAGUUGCCAGCAGGUAAAGCUGGGGACUCUGGCGAGACUGCCCGUGUCAAGCGGGAGGAAGGCGCGGAUGACGUCAAGUCCGUAUGGCCCUUACGCCCAGGGCUGCACACGUGCUACAAUGGCUGGUACAAUGGGCUGCAACGCUGCGAAGCGUAGCUAAUCCCUAAAACCAGUCCCAGUUCGGAUUGCAGUCUGCAACUCGACUGCAUGAAGCCGGAAUCGCUAGUAAAGGCGUAUCAGCAACGACGCCUUGAAUACGUUCCCGGGCCUUGUACACACCGCCCGUCACAUCAUGGAAGCUGGAUGCACCCGAAGUCGUUGACCCAACUUUUCGAAGAGGGAGGCGCCGAAGGUGUGCUCAGUGACUGGGAUGAAGUCGUAACAAGGUA